GACGAACGCUGGCGGCGUGCUUAACACAUGCAAGUCGAACGGAAAGGCCCUGCUUUUGUGGGGUGCUCGAGUGGCGAACGGGUGAGUAACACGUGAGUAACCUGCCCUUGACUUUGGGAUAACUUCAGGAAACUGGGGCUAAUACCGGAUAGGAGCUCCUGCUGCAUGGUGGGGGUUGGAAAGUUUCGGCGGUUGGGGAUGGACUCGCGGCUUAUCAGCUUGUUGGUGGGGUAGUGGCUUACCAAGGCUUUGACGGGUAGCCGGCCUGAGAGGGUGACCGGCCACAUUGGGACUGAGAUACGGCCCAGACUCCUACGGGAGGCAGCAGUGGGGAAUAUUGCACAAUGGGCGGAAGCCUGAUGCAGCAACGCCGCGUGCGGGAUGACGGCCUUCGGGUUGUAAACCGCUUUCGCCUGUGACGAAGCGUGAGUGACGGUAAUGGGUAAAGAAGCACCGGCUAACUACGUGCCAGCAGCCGCGGUGAUACGUAGGGUGCGAGCGUUGUCCGGAUUUAUUGGGCGUAAAGGGCUCGUAGGUGGUUGAUCGCGUCGGAAGUGUAAUCUUGGGGCUUAACCCUGAGCGUGCUUUCGAUACGGGUUGACUUGAGGAAGGUAGGGGAGAAUGGAAUUCCUGGUGGAGCGGUGGAAUGCGCAGAUAUCAGGAGGAACACCAGUGGCGAAGGCGGUUCUCUGGGCCUUUCCUGACACUGAGGAGCGAAAGCGUGGGGAGCGAACAGGCUUAGAUACCCUGGUAGUCCACGCUGUAAACGGUGGGUACUAGGUGUGGGGUCCAUUCCACGGGUUCCGUGCCGUAGCUAACGCUUUAAGUACCCCGCCUGGGGAGUACGGCCGCAAGGCUAAAACUCAAAGGAAUUGACGGGGCCCCGCACAAGCGGCGGAGCAUGCGGAUUAAUUCGAUGCAACGCGUAGAACCUUACCUGGGUUUGACAUGGAUCGGGAGUGCUCAGAGAUGGGUGUGCCUCUUUUGGGGUCGGUUCACAGGUGGUGCAUGGCUGUCGUCAGCUCGUGUCGUGAGAUGUUGGGUUAAGUCCCGCAACGAGCGCAACCCUUGUUCACUGUUGCCAGCACGUUAUGGUGGGGACUCAGUGGAGACCGCCGGGGUCAACUCGGAGGAAGGUGGGGAUGACGUCAAGUCAUCAUGCCCCUUAUGUCCAGGGCUUCACGCAUGCUACAAUGGCUGGUACAGAGAGUGGCGAGCCUGUGAGGGUGAGCGAAUCUCGGGAAGCCGGUCUCAGUUCGGAUUGGGGUCUGCAACUCGACCUCAUGAAGUCGGAGUCGCUAGUAAUCGCAGAUCAGCAACGCUGCGGUGAAUACGUUCCCGGG
rnacentral:rRNA from 1 species